rnacentral:rRNA from 1 species
UACGUAGGGUGCAAGCGUUGUCCGGAAUUAUUGGGCGUAAAGAGCUCGUAGGCGGCUUGUCACGUCGACUGUGAAAACCCGGGGCUCAACUCCGGGCCUGCAGUCGAUACGGGCUGGCUUGAGUGCGGUAGGGGAGACUGGAAUUCCUGGUGUAGCGGUGAAAUGCGCAGAUAUCAGGAGGAACACCGAUGGCGAAGGCAGGUCUCUGGGCCACUACUGACGCUGAGAAGCGAAAGUAUGGGGAGCGAACAGG